AGUGUUGUCAGAACAGACCCGGGAGCUCUCUCUCUUUCAUCCUUCCAGUCACAGACUCUGGGAACAUCUUCUCACCAUCUUCCGCUUCCAGACCCGACCACAAGCAAUAAGGGCAGCUCGUUAUUGCUGAGCACCCUUAACCUCUUGGAUUCGUGGGAAUCAUCCCACUGAGGUGGAGGCUGCCGUCAACCGCCUGGUCAGUCUGCGCCUGCGCCGCCUGGUCAGUCUACACCUACCUUUCUCUGGGCUACUCCUUCCGUGGAGAUAGUGUGGCUCUGGUGAGCAUGGGGCAUUUCUCUGGCAAGCUAAGCUGGCCCACAAGAAGCACAAAGGCUCCAAGCAACUCCUGAAGAUGCAAAACCAACAUGGCAGCUGUGAUUUCUUUCAGGAUGGGCAGAAACCUUCUAAAGAUGACUGGGUUUCCUUUGCUCUACUGACCCUGGGAGGAUCAGGAGCACAGCUCUCCUGCUCUUCUGCCCUGGUGCCACCUGGAGGCUCCUCCUCCAACACCUCCUCCGACAGGAGCACCUUUGUUCGCACAGGUGAGUUAAUUAACAGCCGUAUGAUUUCCAGAAGAAGCAAACCCCGGAAACAGCAUAAAUAUCACACAGCAGAGGAGGAACCAAACCCACAGAUGGAGGGGCCCGAUCCCCACUUCCACUCCCCGGCAGCUGUGUCUCCUGCUGGGCCUGCGGAAUCCACCACAGCAGGAAAUGGUUUGGGGUUUUCUGUUAUGAACAUGAUAGAAGUUUAGAAUAUUUUUUAAAAAUACAGAAACAUAAAAGGAGGAAGAAAACACCCAUUUUCUUCUAAGCUAUUAACAUUUUAUAUUUUCCCUUGUUCCUUUUUAAACACAGUUUUACAUAGCUGUUGUUAAACACCGUAUGGGACCUUGUAGUCUUAAACUUUAACAUUAUAAUGUAAUAAACAGCAAUGUAGUAUAAGACAAAGAGGGCUUGGCUUGGAGCCUGAACAGUGAGUAUUAACUUAGCUCUGCUACUUGCUGUAUGACUUAGGCAUAUAAUUUACCAUUUUGGAGACUCAAGUUUGCCCUUUUUUUUUUGUCUUUUUGAGACAAGGUCUUGCUAUGCAGUUCAGGCUGGCCUUGAGCUCACUUUGUAGCCCAAGCUGGCCUUGAACUCGCAACGAUCCUCCUGCCUCAGCCUCCCAAGUGCUGGGAUUACAGGCGUGCACCACUAUGCCUGGUGAGGUUUGUCAUCUGUGUAAUGAGGAUUAGAGACACAUCCAUUCCUUGCCGCCACUUUUCUGUGUGGCCCUCUAGAUUGUAAGAUCUGUGACUUGUCCUCUGCCAGGUCCCUACAGUCUGGCCCUAGUGGAUUAAAGAUGUGAAGAUUGCCACAAAGUCUUCCCUAGCCCUACCCCUCUCCACAAGUAGAGUUUAUUUCUCCACCCUGUGGAAUCUUGAGCUGGCCUUAUGUGGUGUCAGCUUCCAAGGUGGUCCCCAGCGAUCCUUAUUCCUGGUCAUUUUCACCCUUUCACAGUCUCCUCUGCCCACAAACCAGGCUGGUGGCAGGGAGGAUGGCAGAAGGACAACAUACAGUGUCUGCAACCAGCUCAACAAGAGUACUCAGGCUUCUGCCUUGGUCUCUUGGAUCACUUGCUCCUGGGGAAGAAGCUACCAUGUUGCAAAGACAAGGUAAGCAGCCGGUGCAGAAGCCCACGUGUGGAAGAACUCCUGCCAGCGAGCGCAGUUAGCGGACAAGACAGGUGAGCCACUUUGGGAAUGCUGCAGAGAAGUCCCGAUUUUGUCUGCAAUCUCCUGAGACUCCCCAAGCCAGAACUCCCCAGAAAGACUUCUCUGAUUCCUCACCCACAAGAACAGUGAGAGAGAAAUGCUGAUUUGCAUCUUCAGCCAGUAAGUUUGGGGAUUGCUAUGCGGCAGUAUUACUGUACAUCCUAUGACUGGCUUUGGCCAAUAGCAUGAGUCAGAAGCGACAUUCUGGGACUUCUGAGCCCAGGCCUAAAGGGGACUGAGGCUCUUGCUUCCUGAUUCUUGGGACCCAGCCUCCCGGGUAGACCAGGCUGUGUGCAGAAGACGCCAAGAAGGGAACUGAGACCUCCAGGUGGCGUUCCCAGCCACCCUCCCCGCCAAGAGUCAGUGCCGGGGCCAUUUCCGGGGGUGAGCCGGCCAGGAGGUUCAGCGGAGCUGUGCCCCGGAUUCCUCAGCUGUAGCUAUUAGGGUGCUGAGCUCAGUCAGCCCACAGAAAUGCGAAGGCAAACAGGAUGGCUAUUGUUGUAAGCCUCUGAGUGUGGGGGUGACGCGGAGCACAGCAGUGUUUAGCCCUCACACUAGCCCUGCCCCUUAGCAGGCAGUCAGCUCUUGAGAAACACUGAGUGAGCGGGCGGCCCUUGCUCCAUUUCCUCCUCCACAACACGCAGAGCUGGGCCGCCCCGGGCCGCGCAUCCCCGUGACUGCAGCCCUCCGCCCUGCGGAGCCUGCUCACCUGGCCGCCUGCCCCAGGCUCUCACUUCACUCUUGCGGACGACUCCGUGUCUGUGGCAUCUCUGCCCCACCUGUGUCGGUUCCUUCUUCUCCCGUGAUGCCCACACCCUCCAGCGACCUGCUUCCUUGUGACGCUCUCCCAGCAGUUUCCCCACGCAGCCGUGUGACUUGACAGGAAGAGUGGCCGGAGGCCUCUACCUUAUGGGUGGCACCAUUCCCAGUAGGUCCCUGGGACACACAGGCAAGGAGCAAGAGAGAUGCAACUAUGUUUGCCAUUUUACCCCUCCUCAAGGCCAAGACUUACGGUGGGUUACUGGUUAGAAAAAUGACUGGCCUUGCCUGUAAUCCCAGCACGCAGGAGGCUGAGGCAGGAGGAUUGCUGUGAGUUUGAGGCCAGCCUGAGCUACAAUUCAAGGCCAGCCCAAACCACAUAGCGAGAUCCUGUCUCGAAAUAAAUAAAUAAAUAAAUAAACAAACACCUAAACAAGAAAAGGAAAAAAAAAAAAAAAAAAAAUGACUGGCUUCUUUCAUAGUGUCCAGGUCCCUGGCUAAAUUUCCUAACACAAAAAGUAUCUACUUCUGGAAACAGAUGUUGAGUCUCUGGCUUCUUAGGAUCUCUUGUUUGUCACAGAUGCACCAGUUACUUUUAUUAGCAAACCCUACGGGUUUUUUUGGGGGGGGAUCUAUAAUAUCCAUUAAAGAUAAAUAAAUAAAAGGAGACAUCAAGUAGCUAGCCUAAGGUCAAGGCAAACCCAGGUUACUGGUAGAUUAGAAUCACUCCCCUUCUGCUUCCAAUCCCUCCCUUCACCCACUACAGCCUCUUUGCCUCUUACAUAACUGCGCGAUCGUGCUGUGACCCAUCAGAUCAUUACUGAGGAGCAUAAUUAGCCUCCCUGACUGUAAGUCAUACCAAAAUAUCACCCGUGAAGCUCUGACGCUGUGUCCCUUAGUCACCUAGUUUACAGAGGCUGGGAGAAGCCAUGAUGUCAUUCAUCCACCCAAGCAGAAAACACUGACUGAACUGGAUCUGAGUGCCCGGCAGGGUGCUAGAGAUAGGACAGGCGGCAGUGCCCAGCCCCUGCCAGGAGCUUGCAGUCUAGUGGGAAAGCCAGAGUCUUUCCGGAGCUUUUGCGCCUGGUGUGGUGGUGAAUGUCAUAGGUCCCAGGCCUGGUGCAUGGUGUAGUUUUCGUACAUUGGGAACAGAGAAAACACCGGCCUCUGCUUUAUGUUCCAGGCUGACCUAACCGCCUCUUGGAUUCCGGUUGUCCUUUCAAGCUGCGGUGUUUCCAGGGGAGCUCUUGGCCCCUGCCCUCACCCGUCUUGUCGGUAGCACUUCUGCCCACUCACUCGUUCACUCAGGUCAAGGACAGCGAGUUGUCCUUCAUUUCCUCCUUUCCUGGUCACAUCCAAUCCAUGGGUGAGUCCUGACUGGUCAUAUCCAAACUUGAGCAGGGCAUGGUGGUGCACGCCUGUAAUCCCAGCACUCAGGAGGCUGAAACAGGAGGGUCUUUGGAAAUUUGAGACCAGCCUGGGCUACAAAGUGAGCUCAAGGCCAGCCUGAACUGCAUAGUGAGACCCUGUCUCAAAAAGACAAACAAACAAUCUUGAGAUGGCAUCUGUCUGCUUGCCUGUCACUACACCCACCGAAAUCUCUCACCCAGCUCUGUGUGAUUACUCAAUUCCCCUUUAAUUUUCUGUGGUACUGGGUACUGAGCUCGAGGUCUUGCACCUGUGAGGCAGUUACUCUACCAGGAAGCGACAGCCCUAGAUAUUUUUUGAAAAUUGUAUUUUGAGACAAAUUCUAAGAUGCUCAGGCUGGCCUUGAACUUGCGAUCCUCCUGCCUCUUCGGUAGCUGGAACGUCAGUCAUGCACGCCCGGGCCCACACUUGACCCUGCUUCUCAGGCCUAUGCCGCCCAAGUAACUCACUUUCCCUCUCUCAGAGGCAGCCGCUGCUGCUCUUCCUGCUUCUGCCCAGUGUCUCCCUUCUCCCCAAUGACCUCGCCUCCUCUUUUCCUGGCAGUAGGGGUCCAGCCCGCCAGAACCACACCCCCGCCUUCCCAGCACAAGUCUGCGCACCGGGGCUCUUACAUAUGCCCCCUCUUUUCUGUCCUUGCUACUCUUAAGGCCUAGCGUCCUCUGCCACCCCCAUGUCUUUCUAUCUACUGGAUCACUGUCCUGCUGUCUCCCUUCUGAAAAAUCCCCUUUCUUGCUCAAGGCUUCCUCCCACUGCUCCCCUCUCUGCUGUCCUUGACAGCAAAACUUCUCCAAGCGUUCUUGUCCUCUCCCGCCACCCUCUCCAACUACUCCACAUUGGUGUCUGCCUCCACUGCUCCCCAAACCGGCUACAGUCAAACCAGCCUGCACUCGGACAGCCUCUCAGAGGUCACUGCUCAGCCUCUGUCUUGUGUCUCUCUCAAUCGUUUUAAAAACAUCUGUUACAACCCAGGCGUGGUGACUCACACCUAUAAUCCCAGCACUCGGGAGGCUGAGGCAGGAGGAUCGUUGCGAGUUUGAGACCAGCCUGGGCUACAAAGUGAGCUCAAGGCCAGCCUGAACUGCACAGCGAGACCCUGUCUCAAGAAGAUAAAAAGUGAACAAACAUCUAUUGCAAAUUAUGACCGGCCAUUGUUUGGGGUGGAACUCCUGAAUCGGGACACGACAGACCAGUUCAAACCAACAUGGAGUCUCUUCGUGUUAAAUGCCAUAGAAUCAAAGCGAAACUUUAGCGAAGCAGAGGGAUCCCAAAACAGAACAAUUGUCCCUGAAAACUGAAAACCCUGGUCUACCUGAGUCAAUUUAAUAAGGAAGUCACUGUGCUUUAACCCUUCCAGAAGAAAGUAACCUGCCUUUUUUUUGAUGUUUU
rnacentral:lncRNA from 1 species